CCACCCGAGGGGCGCUGCAGCAGGUUCCAGAACCUGUCAGGCUCGGAUGGGGCGUUUCCUCGAACGCAUCAACGGCGCCCAUUCGCA
rnacentral:ncRNA from 18 species